rnacentral:rRNA from 1 species
UGGGGAAUCUUCCGCAAUGGACGAAAGUCUGACGGAGCAACGCCGCGUGAGUGAAGAAGGUUUUCGGAUCGUAAAACUCUGUCUUUUGGGGCGAACGUGAGUAUGGUGAACAAUCAUAGUCAGUGACGGUACCAAAGGAGGAAGCCACGGCUAACUACGUGCCAGCAGCCGCGGUAAUACGUAGGUGGCAAGCGUUGUCCGGAAUUAUUGGGCGUAAAGAGCGCGUAGGCGGGAUAGUCAGUCUGUUGUAAAGUGCGGGGCUCAACCCCGUGAUGGCAAUGGAACAGCUAUUCUUGAGUGCAGGAGAGGAAAGUGGAAUUCCCAGUGUAGCGGUGAAAUGCGUAGAUAUUGGGAGGAACACCAGUGGCGAAGGCGACUUUCUGGACUGUGUCUGACGCUGAGGCGCGAAAGCCAGGGGAGCGAACGGGAUUAGAUACCCCGGUAGUCCUGGCCGUAAACGAUGGGUACUAGGUGUGGGAGGUAUCGACCCCUUCCGUGCCGGAGUUAACGCAAUAAGUACCCCGCCUGGGGAGUACGGUCGCAAGACUGAAACUCAAAGGAAUUGACGGGGUCAUAGCUGUUUCC